GGCGCCGCGAGGUUUUAAAGCCCGGGCCCUGCGGCCCGCAGCAAGUGGGGUGAGCGCCGCGUGCGUUUCGGGAGCCGGCCUGCUCCCUUCCCCCUUGGUAAGUCGAGCGCGGACCUGAGAGGGGGCCGGGGGACCCGGGGGUCUGCGCGCAGCGGCAGCGGCAACUUUUCCGCGCUGGACUCGCGGGCGGAGUGGGGACGCGCCUGGAGGGGUCCCCAACUCUUGGCAACGAGGGCGGCGCGGCGGGGAGUUGGGGGAAAGCCGGGAAGGGGCUUCUGGGGUGGUAGCGACAGAGUCCUGGGGCGCUACCUGCGGAUGAGGGAAGGGCGGCCUGGCUCUGAACCAUCCCCUCAGGCCCGCCCCAGGAGACCUAUUGGGACUUGCUGGGAAGCGCAAAGAGAGAGGGUCCCUGCCUGCCUUGGAGUUUGGCUAGCUAUGCACAGGGGUCCCACUGGGCCCCUAUCUGGCUUUGGGCUAGAAGCACGGGGAAGGGACUCCCGGAGUUCUCUGGAUGAGAGGGAAGUGGUGUCACUUGCAAGUUCUUGACAAGUUGGGGUGAGUGGAGGGAGACGGUUUCCUGUGGGUGGGGGCGAUCUGGUGGGCCCUGGUGCAGCUGGGGUUCAGGGUGUCUCUGCCUCCUGGAUGCGCCUGGCUCCCUCUAGGAGCAGCUCAUGCAAUGUUGGUAGGAAGGGGCCAGGUUUGGGGGUCUCCUGGAGGGCUGACUCUCUAGCCCUGUCAGCUCUGGGGACCCCAUGCCCUUGCACUACAGGAGGUGGGUAAAAUGACCUGGCUGAACCCCAGCUUCUCUGUGCCUGCCCCAGAGAGACUUCUGGUUCCAGCUUUGCUUGGAUGUCCCAAGCCCCAUCCCUGACCUUCCUGCCCAGCUCGGUUGGGGCCCAGGCCCAGGGCCUCCUGAAUGCCUGGGAGGUGCCCUUGGCUGGCUGUCUCCUGUCCCCUUCCCAGCCCCCACCAGCUGCCCGCCGGUGACAGGGUGGUCUCAUGUCCUUGGCAGUCUUGUCUGGGCCAGCCCAAGCUGGAAGGCAGUGCCCAACAGGUGCCUGGCUCAGAGGCGAGGUGAUGUGGGACACGCCCUGUCCGCUCGCCCACAUGCCCUGCUGGGCCAGCAUGGGCACAUGUGUUCCUGCACGGCCGUCCUGGGAAGGCACGGGCCCUGGGUCUGAUGCCAGCUUGUCCUGCGCUUGCAGGGUUCCCUCUGGGAGCUCCCUCAAGACCCCAGCUAGUAGCAGAUCUUGCCCACGGUCCUGGAGGGGCCCUAAAAUAUCUGCUGGCUGGGCCCCGGGCUGGCACGCAGAGUCCAUGCGUGACAGGGCGUGUCCAGGGGUCGGGCCUGUCUGUGCUGGCCCAGCCUCUGUGUCUCCAAUUCCUGCUUGCAGGGGAGAGAGCAAAGAUGGAUGUUCAGGGGUUCUCCCACGGACCCCACAAACAUGCCACACCCUGCCUGAUCGCAAGUGGGGCCCAGAUGUUCAGAUAUUGUGUGUGGGCUGCAGCUUUGGGGCAGGUGCUGUGUAUAUGCAUUCCUGGGGUGACAGUGCCAGUGCAAACCCUGGGGUAACCUGACUGCUCCCGAGGUCCAUGUGGGGCUUAUCCAUCUUCAGGAGCUUUUUGAAAUCUGCCCUGCACCUUGGGUGGGGCUCUGUCCACAGUGAAUGAUGCUGCUGGGAACCUUGGGUGGUCUUAGAAAACCUUCCUCCAACGCUUUUUUCAGGACUUUGUUAUUUUUAUUUUAUUUUUUGGAGGUGGAGGUGAGACAGGUUUCACAUGUAGCCCAUGCUGGCCUAGAACUCAACUGUAUAGCCCAGGCUGGUCUUGAACUCAUGGCGAUUCUCCUGCCUCAGUCUCCAGAGUUGCUGAGAUUACAGGUGCCAGCCUCUGGCCCCGCCCAGUGCCUCCCACCCUUUGCCAUGGCCGGCUGGGGUUCCUGGGGAUGGGAUUUGCUGUCUCACAAAUCACAUUGCCAGGGAUUUCCAACCGACCCUGAGCUCUGCCUCCGGGCCCACCACUGCCACUGAGGAUGCCUGUCCAUGCCUGGGGACGGGGUGUCGGAGAGGCCCUGCCACCGCCACCACCACUGCUGUAGCCGUCGCCAGGCCUGAGGAGCAGGGCUUAGCUGCUUGUGAGCAGAGUCCGCACCAAGUCGUGUUCACAGUGGCUAAGUUCCGUCCCCUGGGCCCCGCCUCCACCGCCCCACCUUUCUGCUGGUUGCCCAGUUCCCCGGGCUCUGCCUCCCGUGCCUACUGAGCUGAAACACAGUUGAUUUGUGCAGACUGGCUCAGUUCAGCAGGAACAGGGGUCAAGCCCCCUGGAGCCUGGAGCGCACAGCCUGGCUGUCCUGACACGGCGACCAGACAGGCGCAGAUGUGUCUGAAGGAGGGGACACGGGAGGACGGGGUGAGAGGGCUGGCCUGGGUCUAGGCAUCUGCUGCAGGCCACCUCUCUUUUUUGUUUUUUGAUACCAUGGAUGGAACUCGGGUCCUUGCACUUUCGCAGCAGGCAGUGAAACCACUGAGCUAAAUCCCCAGCCCAAGGCCACCUCUCUUGGUCUGCACAGAGGGACCCUGUUGUCCCAACAUGGCCAUACCUCGAACAGGCUGAGCCGUUGUCCCAGGGUAGACAGGACAGAGGGUCCUUCCUUAAGCCAGCUGUGCUUCUCUGGGCCUAGCACCUCAGCUCCUCCCUGUUUUGAUUCGUGAGAUUGAGUCUCCCUGUGUAAUCCAGGCUGGCUUUGAAUUAUGUAGCCAGGCAGUCCUCCUGCCUCAGCUUCCUGAGUGCUGGGAUGACAUGUGUGUGUCACCAUGCCUGGCCCUGCCCCUCCUGUCCUAAGCCUAGCGGGGAGUGCUGAACCUUCCCAGCUGCCUGUUACCCAAGAGGAAGCUGCCUUAGGCCCCCUGACCGUUAAGUGCCAACUCACAGCUUCUGGAACUAGCUGGCCCGACUUGGCCGAGUGAGUGUGCCUGGGCCCCUCUCCCUGGCCCUGAGGGUUCUUAAUGACACCCACUCCACGUGGGGUAGGGAACAGUUCCAUGCGGCCCCAAGAGGGACAUGAUCAGGCCUCCCCUGUCCUGGGGUUGAGGUCAUCCUGUCCUGCUCUCCUUGGUGGUCCUGGGCUUGGAAGAGGUGAAUUGUGCCACUGUCCCCAAGUCAGAUGGGAGGAAGCUCUUUGGGCCUGGAGGGAGGGUCCAGUGAAAUGCCCAGACUGUCAGGGCUGGCCUGGUGUUGCCCAGGUAGGGGCAGACAGGAGCUUGGGUGGAGGGAGGGCAGCAUUUGUAUUGUGCCCCGCAUGUGAUGCCCAGUGAAAUAAAAGUUGUCCCAGCUUCACUCCUGAGGCUCUGAUGGUCCGUGAUUUGCUCCUGUCUCUGUCCUUACAGUUACAGCUUUUUAUUCUUUCCGAUGCUGGGGGUGGAACUCCGGCCUCGUGCGGGCUGGACCAGCGCUCACCACCGAGUUACCUUGCCGGCUACACAUGCAGCCUUUGCAUUCUGGAGCAGGGGCUCCAGAUCUCACCGGCUCCCAACCCCCGCUCUGAGGGUGGCGGGAAAAGCCAGACUUGUUUUCCUGUGGACCAAGGGGGGCCCUGAGCUUGGAGAGGUGACUUUGAGGGAUGUCCUGGGGUGACACUAUUGUGGGAGGAACAAAAAUGAGGGUUACUAUGAAUGAUGACUGAGCCAAGAGGGAGGGAAGGGAGCCUGAUCUAGGGAUGGUGGGGGUGGAUUGGGCCUCAGGACAAACUGGACCGGGAGACCACUGGACGUGAGGGUCCUGAGCUAAUGGCAUUUGGGGACCACUGGGACUUAACCUGGGCUGUGGGGAGAGAUCUAGGGUGCCUGCUGUCUUAAGAAUGCUGAAAUUUUUUUCGAGACGGUCUUGAUUGUAGGCUGGCUCGGAGUCUCGGCAAGCCUCCUGCCUCAGCCUCCGGAGUCCCAGGAUGACAGGCGUUGCCACCACGCCCAGCUAGAAGGUGUAUGCGUAAGGCGGAGGAGAUUCCUGGUCCAAGGGGGAGAUAUUCAGGUGGCAGGGGACUAAGUGGCCCCCAGUCGGUAGGGAUACCCGUGGGUAACGGGAGCAGUGAGGGCGCCCGAGCCCCACGAGGGGCACCAAGGCGGACCAACGGCAGAGUGGGAAGCCCGGAUCGUCGCCCCACCCCGGCCCAGUCUAAGGCAGCCUGCGGGCGGGUCCAAGCCUCCGCAGCACGUACCUGCAGGAAUGAGCGGGGCUGGAGGUAGGGCCGUCGCCGAUUGGCCCCCUAGAUCCCAGGGCGUCACUCGGAACCAAUCGGC
rnacentral:lncRNA from 1 species